rnacentral:ncRNA from 1 species
UAACAUAGUUCAUGGAGAAACGGGACUCAUCUCCUUACCGAGACUAUCCAUGUAAAAUAUGUCUCUCAUAUCCACACUGGAGGGUGGUGUGGAGCAUACUGAUACCA